rnacentral:rRNA from 1 species
UACGUAGGGGGCAAGCGUUGUCCGGAUUUAUUGGGCGUAAAGAGCGUGUAGGCGGCCAGAUAGGUCCGUUGUGAAAACUCGAGGCUCAACCUCGAGACGCCGAUGGAAACCAUUUGGCUAGAGUCCGGAAGAGGCGAGUGGAAUUCCUGGUGUAGCGGUGAAAUGCGCAGAUAUCAGGAGGAACACCGAUGGCGAAGGCAGCUCGCUGGGACGGUACUGACGCUGAGGCGCGAAAGCGUGGGGAGCAAACAGG